rnacentral:rRNA from 1 species
UACGGGGGGAGCAAGCGUUGUUCGGAUUUACUGGGCGUAAAGGGCGCGUAGGCGGCCACCGCAAGUCAGUUGUGAAAUCUCUGGGCUUAACCCAGAAAGGUCAACUGAUACUGCGGGGCUAGAGUGCAGAAGGGGCAACUGGAAUUCUCGGUGUAGCGGUGAAAUGCGUAGAUAUCGGGAGGAACACCGGUGGCGAAGGCGGCCUUCUGGACGGAUACUGACGCUGAGACGCGAAAGCGUGGGGAGCAAACAGG